GGGGAUUUAGCUCAGUGGUAGAGCGCUUGCCUAGCAAGCACAAGGACCUGGGUUCGGUCCCCAGCUCCG
rfam:Rattus norvegicus chromosome 6, whole genome shotgun sequence.